GACGAACGCUGGCGGCGUGCCUAAUACAUGCAAGUAGAACGCAGUUGCGAACGGGUGAGUAACGCGUAUGUAACUGCCUCAUAGCGGGGGAUCACUAUUGGAAACGUUAGCUAAUACCGCAUCCUUUGAGAUGGACCUGCGGUGUAUUGGCUAGUUGGUGAGGUAAAGGCUCACCCAGGCGACGAUACAUAGCCGACCUGAGAGGGUGGUCCGCCACAACGGGAAUGAGACAAGGCCCAGACCCCCUCGGGAGGGCGGAGGAGGGAAUCUUCGGAAAUGGGCGGAAGGCCGACCGAGCAAAGGCGCGGUAGUGAAGAAGGGUUUCGGAUCGUAAAGCUCUGUUGUUAGAGAAGCGGUAACUAACCAGAAAGGGACGGCUAACUACGUGCCAGCAGCCGCGGUAAUUC
rnacentral:rRNA from 1 species